UACGGGGGAUGCGAGCGUUGUCCGGAUUCACUGGGCGUAAAGGGCGCGUAGGCGGCCCGGUCAGUCGGCGCUCUAAGUGCGGGGCUCAACCCCGUGAUGGCGCCGGGACGGCCGGGCUGGGGCGCGGCAGAGGGGGACGGAAUGCCGGGUGUAGUGGUGAAAUGCGUAGAGAUCCGGCGGAACACCGGUGGCGAAGGCGGUCUCCUGGGCCGAGGGCCGACGCUGAGGCGCGAGAGCGUGGGGAGCGAACCGGG
rnacentral:rRNA from 1 species